rnacentral:rRNA from 1 species
UACGAAGGGGGCUAGCGUUGCUCGGAAUCACUGGGCGUAAAGGGCGCGUAGGCGGAUUCUUAAGUUAGAGGUGAAAGCCCAGGGCUCAACCCUGGAAUGGCCUUUGAUACUGGGGAUCUUGAGACCGGAAGAGGUUGGUGGAACUGCGAGUGUAGAGGUGAAAUUCGUAGAUAUUCGCAAGAACACCAGUGGCGAAGGCGGCCAACUGGUCCGGUUCUGACGCUGAGGCGCGAAAGCGUGGGGAGCAAACAGG